rnacentral:lncRNA from 1 species
GAAAACUUAAGAACGAAACUCAUGGCUCUCCCCUUCCCUCUCUGGCCUUCGCCUCCCUCUUUGGUUCUCCGUCUCUCUCUCUCAUAAAUGUUAACCUCACCAUCAAAGUAACAUACAAAAUUUAAUUUUCUUGAUCCAGUCCUCACAAAUAAGUCAUUUGCUUUCAUCAUUUUCUGAGCAAUCAUAUCCAAAAAUGAAACGACCGAAAUUCGAGUAGGUAAUCUAAUAGUUUUGGGUUGGGGCUUUUAAUUCUUCUCUCCAGAUUUGUUUCUUUUUGUCUCUGAAGCAAUUUUUUGUUUAAUCUCAGCUAAGGUCCAGAUGGCCGAAGAGCUAAUUUCAUCUCAAGAUUGUCUUUUUCCUCCUGUUUGGCUUUCAUCAUUGGUUUCUCAGGUGAGCUAGCUUUUGACAUUACUUUACCUUGUUCUUUGUUUAUUAUAAUUUAUUCACGCUUUUUACAUUAUAAUUUAAGGUCUUCGUUUAUUUUAAUUAAAUUCAUGUUAUAUGAAUAGUAAAAUUGGCUUGCUUGCAGAAUUGUCUUCGAUAUUGACAGUAUUACGAUAUUUUUUUGUUGCAAUUUUUGAUAUAUUUCUUAUUGUGAUCAUCUGAUUGGUCUCCAAUGUACGAGCAUGAAGAUUUAAUGAAUGUUAAAAUUUAAGUAACAAUUAAAAUUUGUACACCAAGUGUUUGUUAUAAUGCCUUGUGUUAUUUUCAAUAGAUUGUUUUUAGUAUGAGUAUAAAAGUGACAAUUUUUUUUUUUUUUUGCAGGACACAAUUUUUUAUAAACAAUAAAACAAAUGAUUAAGAGCGUUUUGAUACAAUUUUCAAAUUAGAGCGUAUGAUAAUUUAUAAAAGUAAUUGAUUUCCCAAAGAGUAAAAGUAUGAUACUUCAUCUCAGAGCAACUUAUGUUGUUAGCUAAUUUUAUGAGCCAGUUUAAC